rnacentral:ncRNA from 1 species
AUGGGAGAAGCUUAGAUGUUCUUGGAGCUCUGUUUUAGACUCAGCAAAUUUCGACACGAUGUCGAAAUAGAUGCAAUGGAGCCAUGGAUGGCGACUUUGCACCAGUUGCGUGCAGUUGAAAAAAAUAUUCUCAGAGUUCCUAGAACAUCUUAGCUUCGUAC